CCAUGCAGUCGAACGGAACUGUUUUGAAAGAUUUCUUCGGAAUGAAUUUGAUUUAGUUUAGUGGCGGACGGGUGAGUAACGCGUGAGUAACCUGCCUUCAAGAGGGGGAUAACAUUCUGAAAAGAAUGCUAAUACCGCAUGACAUAUCGGAACCACAUGGUUUUGAUAUCAAAGAUUUUAUCGCUUGAAGAUGGACUCGCGUCCGAUUAGUUAGUUGGUGAGGUAACGGCUCACCAAGACCGCGAUCGGUAGCCGGACUGAGAGGUUGAACGGCCACAUUGGGACUGAGACACGGCCCAGACUCCUACGGGAGGCAGCAGUGGGGGAUAUUGCGCAAUGGGGGCAACCCUGACGCAGCAACGCCGCGUGAAGGAUGAAGGUUUUCGGAUUGUAAACUUCUUUUAUUAAGGACGAAAAAUGACGGUACUUAAUGAAUAAGCUCCGGCUAACUACGUGCCAGCAGCCGCGGUAAUACGUAGGGAGCAAGCGUUGUCCGGAUUUACUGGGUGUAAAGGGUGCGUAGGCGGCUUUGCAAGUCAGAUGUGAAAUCUAUGGGCUCAACCCAUAAACUGCAUUUGAAACUGUAGAGCUUGAGUGAAGUAGAGGCAGGCGGAAUUCCCCGUGUAGCGGUGAAAUGCGUAGAGAUGGGGAGGAACACCAGUGGCGAAGGCGGCCUGCUGGGCUUUAACUGACGCUGAGGCACGAAAGCGUGGGUAGCAAACAGGAUUAGAUACCCUGGUAGUCCACGCUGUAAACGAUGAUUACUAGGUGUGGGGGUCUGACCCCUUCCGUGCCGGAGUUAACACAAUAAGUAAUCCACCUGGGGAGUACGGCCGCAAGGUUG
rnacentral:rRNA from 1 species